GACCACUGAUUCUUGCAGUCAGUAAAUGGUGCACGUCAUAGCUGGAAAACUUUCUGCUGACAAGGCUGGACGAGGACACCUCAUACUGUGUAAAGAAGUGGAACGAACGACACACACCACGAUUGCACGCACAGUGCAGGAAGCAUUGUGUGUGCUAUGGAGAUGUGAAGAUCAGAAACGUGGGGAGAACAAGGAUUUGGCCUUUGCGAUGGAUAGUGAAACAUAUAUGCUGAAGGCCGCAGAGUGUCUCCGAGGUGUUUUACCCUAAAAUUAUUCACCUCACGUGUCUGGCUCAUGGGAUCCAUCAAAUUGCUGAAGAGAUCAGAGCCACAUUACCAGAGAUCAACAGCCUUAUAUCUUGGGCAAAGAAGGUUUUCAUCAAGGUACCAAGUCGUGUGAGAGCUCUCAAGACUGCUCACCCUGACUGUCCUCUGCCACCUGAACCGGUCUUGACAAGGUGGGGAACGUGGAUUUCAGCUAAAAGUAUUAUGCAGACAACAACAGAAGAGUUGAAGAGUUGGAGAAGGAUGGUGGGAGCAAUGAGCUGUGAACUGCUGAAGCAAUCAUCCAACAACUGGCCAGAAGUGUUUUUAAGAAAUCUUUGGGAAACUAAUUAUUAAAACUUAUGUUUGUAACUCCCCGCCCCCAAACAGAUCAUAAAUGAGAGUGUAGUGUUUUAUCUAGACAGUGAUGAAUUGUUUUCAUUUUUGUGAAUGAGGACUGAGGAUUGUUACACAGUGGCAAAAGAUCUUUGUAC